rnacentral:rRNA from 1 species
GAUGAACGCUGACAGAAUGCUUAACACAUGCAAGUCAACUUUGGCGUACGGGUGAGUAACGCGUAAAGAACUGUCCUCACAGAGAGGGACAACAUUUUGAAACGAAUGCUAAUACCUGAUACUGUGAGAGGGUUUUGCGUCCCAUUAGCUAGUUGGAGAGGUAACGGCUCACGAAGGCGAGGAUGGGUAGCCGGCCUGAGACGGUGAUCGGCCACAAGGGGACUGGGCAACGGCCCUGACGCGUACGGGAGGAAGGAGUGGGGAAGAUUGGAGAAUGGAGCAAAGUGUGAUGCAGCAAUUCGGUGUGUACGAUGAAGUUUUCGGAAGGUAAAGUGCUUUCAGUUGGGAAGCGGUAACAACAGAAGAAGUGACGGCUAAAUACGUGCCAGCAGGCGCGGUAAUAC